rnacentral:rRNA from 1 species
GACGAACGCUGGCGGCGUGCCUAAUACAUGCAAGUCGAACGCUUCUUUCCUCCCGAGUGCUUGCACUCAAUUGGAAAGAGGAGUGGCGGACGGGUGAGUAACACGUGGGUAACCUACCCAUCAGAGGGGGAUAACACUUGGAAACAGGUGCUAAUACCGCAUAACAGUUUAUGCCGCAUGGCAUAAGAGUGAAAGGCGCUUUCGGUUGUCGCUGAUGGAUGGACCCGCGGUGCAUUAGCUAGUUGGUGAGGUAACGGCUCACCAAGGCCACGAUGCAUAGCCGACCUGAGAGGGUGAUCGGCCACACUGGGACUGAGACACGGCCCAGACUCCUACGGGAGGCAGCAGUAGGGAAUCUUCGGCAAUGGACGAAAGUCUGACCGAGCAACGCCGCGUGAGUGAAGAAGGUUUUCGGAUCGUAAAACUCUGUUGUUAGAGAAGAACAAGGAAGUUAGUAACUGAACGUCCCCUGACGGUAUCUAACCAGAAAGACACGGCUAACUACGUG